rnacentral:misc_RNA from 1 species
GAUGAAGAACGUAGUGAAAUGCGAUAAGUAAUGUGAAUUGCAGAAUUCAGUGAAUCAUCGAAUCUUUGAACGCACAUUGCGCCCCCCAGUAUUCUGGCGGGCAUGCCUGUUCGAGCGUCAUUUCAACCAUCAAGCCCUGCUUGUGUUGGGGUCCUGCGGCUGCCCGCAGGCCCUGAAAACCAGUGGCGGGCUCGCUAGUCACACCGAGCGCAGUAGCACAUCUCGCUCAGGGCGUGCGGCGGGCUCCAGCCGUUAAAGCACCCACCUUUCGCAAGGUUGACCUCGGAUCAGGUAGGAAUACCCGCUGAACUUAAGCAUAUCAAUAAGCGGGGA